GGGGAUGGGUAAGGAAGACGGGCGUAAGGGAGUGGGAAGGCUCAGUCCUGAGGCCUCCAAGGUGGGUCAGUGGCCUCUUCUUGCAGUGGACUUUAAGACAGCGCAGCCACUUCUGGGCUCCGGAGGACCAUCUCAGGACCAAGGCAUGGUUUAGGUUCUGGCCAUCAGGUGUUAGUGGCCUUGAGCAGGACAAUGGGCACCUGAGACCUGGCUUUCCUUUGCAUGGGUACCCCACAGACUUGGUAGUCCAGUGUUUUCUGUCAUUCCCCAGCCCCAACCAAACGAAGCUUCCUUCGAAGCUUUGUGUUCUGUGCUAACUAUGGCUGUUAGCAGAACCUUCUCCCAUUCCUGUAAGCCCCAAGUCCCGGUGGCAAAGAAGUUACAACGUGGAACCUGCUCAGAACUCAAAAGACAAUGAUCAGCAGCAGAGUGGCAGAGAGGUUGGAUGGCCUUGCAGGAAGAUGACACCAGCAGAGGAGAGAGGAAAACAUAGAGCUCUCCAGGUUUUUCUGGAAAAGGAGAGUAAAGGGCAAGCAGAGGACUGUUGACCAUCAACUUCAGAAAGGCUUCCCAGCUCAACUGCUCUGGGGUUUCCCAAGUCAGGGAAAAAGUGCUGGCUGUCCAGAAAUGAAACGGUCCUGCUAAGAGCAGCAGGAAGUUGGAAACCACCAAGGGCUGCAUAAAAAGGGACAUAGGGCACCCUAAGAUGUGUGUCUAAACAAAACAAAAGAUUGCUCUAAUUUUGCUUUCAAAUGUUUGUAUGAAACAACAAGCAAAUUAGUAUAUACCUCCCCUUUGAAUUUGGGAGUCUUUAAUUUGGGAGUGAUUGUACAAGGGAAAGUUGUGUAUGCAGGGGCAAGUUAUGUGAUCACAGAUAACAAAUGUAUUAUUUCAAAAACAGCUAUGGGA
rnacentral:lncRNA from 1 species